CAAAUCCAAUCCAAUAACCCUAAAAUCGAAACCCAGCCGCCGCCUCCUGUUUCUAUAUUACACUGAUGAAACGAAAACACAAUCCAAGUUCAGGCAGUCUCUCUCUCCUGCCAAUCCACGGCCGCAGCUUCCAACCACCAGGGCUUGUUGCCAAUUCUAUUCUACCCUAUUAACCGCGUCAGUGACCAUUCUACUUCAAUCUCUUUUAUCGGCCUCCAGUUUCUCUUUAUCUUUUAUUUGUUAUACGAAUUGCUCCAUCUCCCUUUUCAGUGGAGGUCUUAGGUGAUGGCCAUGGUCGCAGCUGCUAAAAUGAUGAUUGGGAUAUUGUGCAAGGGCUUUGAGUUCCAUUUUAAUGGAAUUGAUGAAAUAAUUCAUAUUAUACCCUCUGAUUACCAGCAGCCAGCAGUUUGAUGGGUCUUUACAGUGUAUCCAAUUACCUAUACUAACUUGGCUCUUGUGCCACUUCUUUGAUCUAUAAUCCUAUACAUGCUCUUAUUAAUUCCUGGAAUUUGCGUCUUAGGAUUGAAGAUGACCCAUUUGCCAGAUUAACAUUCUUAUAACUAUAAGAAACUAAAACAAUUAACUCGUGGAGUGAAAAACUUAGGUCUUAUUGUUCAACUAUCUAUUUAGAUUUGUUAAAAGAAAGAGUUUUUCUUUGGUUAUCUUCCUCAGAAACAAGAGUUUAUGCUCGAUGCCCAUCUAAUGAAUGCAUCUUUGUGAAGAUUGUGGCGCUGCUUGUGUCAAUUUCCGCCUGCUGGACUGGGCUCUUGCAAACCAGCUUAUUUUGGAUUGGGCAUAUUGGGAAGAUUAUUCUUUUGCUUUCAAUUUAAUAAACCUCAAUUCUUUUUUCAUGUUUUUUUUAUUGGGUUCAUUUAUUUUGUAUUUGAUAAUAGUAGAAAUGCAAAAUGAAAUAAAUAUUAAAAAGAUGAAAAUAUAAUAUAAGAGAACAAUUCAUCGUGGGUUCA